rnacentral:rRNA from 1 species
UACCCUACAACUAGCCUUAUAACUUAAACACAACAGACAAACAUCAAUAACCCCUAAUACCCUAUGAAAUCUGAACAAACCAUUUUCCCCCUUUAGUAUAGGCGAUAGAAAAAGACACUGAGAGCAAUAGAUAAAGUACCGCAAGGGAAUGCUGAAAGAGAAAUGAAACAACCCAGAAAAGUAUUAAGAAGCAGAGAUUUUAACUCGUACCUUUUGCAUCAGGAUUUAGCCAGCAAACCCAAGCGAAGAGCCCUUCAGUUUGAGCCCCCGAAACUAAGCGAGCUACUCCAAGGCAGCCUAAUAAAUAGGGCACCCCCGUCUCUGUGGCAAAAGAGUGGGAAGAACUUUGAGUAGAGGUGAAAAACCUACCGAGCCUAGUUAUAGCUGGUUGCCUGGGACUUGGAUAGAAGUUCAGCCUCCCAGCUCUUUUCCCCACGCUUUCACAUGACCCCCCCCUGGCCGAAAAGAAACCCGGAGAGUUAGUCAAAGGGGGUACAGCCCCUUUGAUAAAAGAUACAACUUUUUUAAGAGGAUAAAGAUCAUAAUAUGAAACCCCAUACUUAGGUGGGCCUAAAAGCAGCCAUCCACACAGAAAGCGUUACAGCUCAAGUAUUCCUCCCCCCCCCCCUAACAAAAAACUAAAUCUAAUCCCUUUAAAAUACCAGGGCCUUCCAUUGCAACAUGGGAAAGAUAAUGCUAGUAUGAGUUAUAAAAGGGCAACCCCCUCUCCCCGCACAAGUAUAACUCGGACCGGACCCCCCACCGAGCUUUAACGGCCCCAACCAAAGAGGGCAGUGGACAAGAAACCAAACAACAAGAAAACCCCCCAAAAAUAAACCGUUACCCCCACACUGGUGUGCCCCUAGGGAAAGACUAAAAGAAAGAGAAGGAACUCGGCAAACACAUUUAAGCCUCGCCUGUUUACCAAAAACAUCGCCUCUUGCAACCAAUAAUAUAAGAGGUCCCGCCUGCCCUGUGACUAUAAGUUUAACGGCCGCGGUAUUUUGACCGUGCGAAGGUAGCGUAAUCACUUGUCUUUUAAAUGGAGACCUGUAUGAAUGGCAUAACGAGGGCUUAGCUGUCUCCUCUAUCCAGUCAAUGAAAUUGAUCUCCCCGUGCAGAAGCGGGGAUAAAGACAUAAGACGAGAAGACCCUUUGGAGCUUUAGACGCACGAACAGACUAUGUUAAAUAACACCGACACAAGCAGAAACAAAAUAUCCCCCUGUUCCAAUGUCUUUGGUUGGGGCGACCACGGGGAAGUAAAAAACCCCCGCGCGGAAUGGAAGGACACCUUCUACAACUAAGAGCCCCCGCUCUAAUUAACAGAACUUCUGACCAUCAAAGAUCCGGCAAAGCCGAUCAACGGACCGAGUUACCCUAGGGAUAACAGCGCAAUCCCCUUCUAGAGACCCUAUCGACAAGGGGGUUUACGACCUCGAUGUUGGAUCAGGACAUCCUAAUGGUGCAGCCGCUAUUAAGGGUUCGUUUGUUCAACGAUUAAAGUCCUACGUGAUCUGAGUUCAGACCGGAGUAAUCCAGGUCAGUUUCUAUCUAUGAAAUGAUCUUUUCUAGUACGCAAGGACCGAGAAGAAGGGGCCCCUACUAAAAGUACACCCCACCCCCACCUGAUGAAGACAACUAAAAUAGGCAAGAGGACAUGCUCUGACGCCCAAGACAACGGCAU